CUAGGGAACGCCGAGUCUACAGACCCAGCUGAGGCUUCCUGAUACACAGGAUUAUAAAAUAUUUGGCUUGAAUGAGGGUUGCUACGAUCAACAGUUGACAAAUGACUGCUAAGAGAACUGAAAGACCAAGAGACUGAGCAGCUGAAGCGAAACAGCCAGAUGCUGAAGAGGAUCACAUCGUGCCAAAGAGGAACAAUAAAGUCGCUGUGCACUUUAUUUCUAAAAGAAAACUCGACGAUUGUACAAGAUGCCCAGCAAAAUUUGGACAUGUCUGUAAAUGACCAUAAAAUCCACACGACAGCCGAAUGCAAAGCCAAACUUGUGGUCGGAUGAUUA